UACGUAGGGUGCUAGCGUUAUUCGGAAUUACUGGGCGUACAGGGUGCGUAGACGGUUUAUUAAGUCAGUUGUUAAAGACCCCGGCCUAACUGGGGAAAGGCGAUUGAAACUGAUAGGCUAGAGGUUGGGAGAGAGGAGUGGAAUUCUCGGAGUAGCGGUAAAAAUGCGUAGAUAUCGAGAGGAACACCGAUGGCGAAGGCAGCUCCUUGGCCCAAUCCUGACGUUGAGGCACGAAAGCGUGGGUAGCAAACAGG
rnacentral:rRNA from 1 species